rnacentral:lncRNA from 1 species
UCACUAGGAAAGUUGUAUAACUUUAGUCCAUUGACGUGAGGUUUAGGAACCCCAUUUCUGUGUUAUCUUAUAUUCACCACUGCCAUUCAUUCCAUAAAAAAGGAAUUUAAAUUUAUCUUUAUUACUCUGCGACUAACAAGCUUGAUAUAAUGAAUUGAGAAACUUCUCAAAAAGACUCUGUUAAAAACUCCACAUACAUUGUUGUACAUUUUUUUCUUUACCAUACAAUAAUCAAUAAAUCCACAAAGGGUAUUUAUCCAAAUUCAGAAGUUUGAUAAUUAAUUAGCCCCAAAAGUAAGAUCCAUUACUCUACGGCAUUGAGCUGAGCCACCGCUGAGCCCCCUUGGUUGUCCCGAUUAGGCCAUACAGCACCACAUCAAUGGCCAAGACCUCCGUCGGGUUGGCAUCACAGGGAGAAGAUAAAGAAAACGACCACAUCUUUUUCUCUAACCCGCUUUGAAUGUAUGGAAGCCGAAACCUCCCUUCGAUGUUGUCUUCCUUCGCCAAUUUGAACAACCAUAGCCACGGAGAGGAGAAGCUGCAAAGAGGGGAAGAUAUGGGAGGUUACGGAAUAGGGGAAAUGAUUUAAGGAUUUACCUUUACUUCUCUUCAAGCCAUGACUGCUAGGCUGUUCAACCUUCGCCAACGUCAGCCUGCAUGUAUGUCGUCACCGCUGCUGAGAAUGGAGAAGAAGAGAAGAUGGCUAGGGAUUUAGUUCCCUUUCUUAUGGGACGAAGAGAUGGGGUAACCCCUAUUACCCCUUUUCACUUAACUUGCUUUUAUUUAUUUAUUUAAUCCUCCUCUCUUUUUUUUCCAUUUUGUUUUGCUUACUUAUAUAGUUAUAUGCCUACUUCAUUUGUGUAUUAUUACUCAUACUAUUUGUUUGGGUAAUUGAAAUAAGGUAGAUGCUAAUUAACAUUCUUCAUAUUUUAAACAAUAAUCAUCUACUUUACUCUAUAAAUUAUACUAGUAAUAUAAAAUAAAUACGGUUCAUUUCAAAUAAAAACCAAUAAUCGUAAAUACCAAUUUUUGUUCGAUCCAUAAUACUUUUUCAAAAAUGACAAAAAAAUAAUAUAAAUUUUUUUAGAUAUUUUCUAUUGAAAAAUGAUAUUUUAGGUGUCUCAAAAAUCCAUAUCAUUUCUUCAAAGUGUUUAUUGUCUUACAACUUUUACACUCUUCCUUUUACUACUUCUACACAUUUUUUCUCUCCUUAAACCAACCAUAACUGCACAACAACAAAAAAGAUAACUCCCACAUACCCACGUCUCUCUUCCUCAUCCUGCUCUCUCUCUCCCCUUUCUUAUUUACCCAUGUUUUCCACUCACAGACACUCAUUUUUUUCUCCUCUGAUAUUCAAAAAAACGUUAGCAUAAAAAAGAACAAAGAAAGCCAAUUUUACACACCACCUCCAUUCUCUUUUCCAUAACACCUACACCAUGAAAUAUAUGCACUUUGAAUUGCACUAAUGCAAUAACGAGUGGACUUGCUACUGUGAAUUGUACGAAAAAAAAAAAACUAUAGUGCCUAAACUUGAAAGCCUAAAGCAUAAGGAUGUGAAAGCUAGUUCUUGCAAGAGAAUGAUUUUUAUACCUUAACAAGUUCGAUUAUCGAAGGGGAAAGGGUUAUAGAAAAGGGCUAUCAGAGACUAGAAUUAGCAGGGACAUUCACAUAUAUUCCUCUACCAUCAUCUAGCACACAAAAAAAGAAAAGAAUUAGCAAGCACACAUAAAGAUACACUCAAAUAAGAGUCUAUAAACAGACCAACUAUGUACACACUAUCAAGUUAGUAACAUAUCUCCUUUUAUACACAAGUAUUCUCAAGCAAAAGAACAUUCAAAUACACAUUCAUAUAUACAUUAAAUCAACAAGCUUUGGUGAAGAGGUGGUGGUAUAUCCAGAACCCACAAGGCUCUACAAGGACGAUGAAAGGGUUGGCGGGCAUGCUGGAAAUCUCACCGGCGCAACCGCCGAAGAGAAGGAAGAGCAAGGGUCGAAUCCUGCAGAUCGCUUGAUAGCAGUAUCUCAUUUGUGCAGUGGCCAUGCCGACGCUCUUGGUUGCUCCGUCGUGCCCCUAAGUUGUAGCAACACUUCGCCGCACCAUUGAUGUGUCUUCUCCCGGUGUGAGUGGUGGCUGCUGGAGAAGAAGAAAGAAGGGAUUAUUUCUCCCUUCUUGUCUACAUUCAUGCGGGAUAGGGGUAU